GGUUAAGCGACUAAGCGUACACGGUGGAUGCCCUGGCAGUCAGAGGCGAUGAAGGACGUGCUAAUCUGCGAUAAGCGUCGGUGAGGUGAUAUGAACCGUUAUAACCGGCGAUUUCCGAAUGGGGAAACCCAGUGUGUUUCGACACACUAUCAUUAACUGAAUCCAUAGGUUAAUGAGGCGAACCGGGGGAACUGAAACAUCUAAGUACCCCGAGGAAAAGAAAUCAACCGAGAUUCCCCCAGUAGCGGCGAGCGAACGGGGAGGAGCCCAGAGCCUGAAUCAGUGUGUGUGUUAGUGGAAGCGUCUGGAAAGGCGCGCGAUACAGGGUGACAGCCCCGUACACAAAAAUGCACAUAUUGUGAGCUCGAUGAGUAGGGCGGGACACGUGGUAUCCUGUCUGAAUAUGGGGGGACCAUCCUCCAAGGCUAAAUACUCCUGACUGACCGAUAGUGAACCAGUACCGUGAGGGAAAGGCGAAAAGAACCCCGGCGAGGGGAGUGAAAAAGAACCUGAAACCG
rnacentral:rRNA from 1 species